AGCUUUGCGCAGUGGCAGUAUCGUAGCCAAUGAGGUUUAUCCGAGGCGCGAUUAUUGCUAAUUGAUAUGUACAUAUCAAAAAGGAAAGGGUGACAUGAGAUUCUAAUUGUUAUAUAUCAAUGUAAACAAGCAUAUAAGCAUAGCUUAUCUAAGC
rnacentral:snRNA from 1 species